rnacentral:rRNA from 1 species
UACGGAGGGUGCGAGCGUUGUCCGGAAUCAUUGGGCGUAAAGGCGCGUAGGUGGCCCGGUCAGCGUGCGGUGAAAGCUCGGGGCUCAACCCCGAGUCGGCCGUGCGAACUGCCGGGCUUGAGCACUGUAGAGGCAGGCGGAAUUCCUGGUGUAGCGGUGAAAUGCGCAGAUAUCAGGAGGAACACCGAUGGCGAAGGCAGGUCUCUGGGCAUUAACUGACGCUGAGGAGCGAAAGCAUGGGGAGCGAACAGG